rnacentral:rRNA from 1 species
UACGUAGGCAGCAAGCGUUGUUCGGAAUUACUGGGCGUAAAGAGUGUGUAGGCGGUGUUCUAAGUCUGUUGUGAAAUCUCCCGGCUUAACUGGGAGGGUGCGGCGGAAACUGGAAUGCUAGAGGAUGGGAGAGGUAAGCGGAAUUCCUGGUGUAGCGGUGAAAUGCGUAGAGAUGUGGAGGAACACCAGUGGCGAAGGCGACUCUUUGGUCUGUAACUGACGCUGAGGCGCGAAAGCGUGGGGAGCAAACAGG